CUUAGAUCUAAGGAUAACCCUGCUGCUUGAGGAAAAUAAUCCUGCUCCCACAGGAUAAUGCACUCAUGGGAAACUGCCACGUGGGUGAAACACUUCAUGAAGAGUUGGUUGUGCAGAUGGAGGUACAGAAACGCUCUGUGUUGGCAGUGAAGUGAUCACAUCUGUUAAGGAAGUUUUGAGCUCUAGGAGCUGCUGUGCAUGGGAGGAUUGAAAUGCACGUGUUGCUUGACAAAAUGUGUAAUUAAAGGUCAGGAUGUUUUGAGAACGAAUUAACUCAAGUCCUAGGAUUGAUGAUAAAAGUCCUGAUGAUAAAAGGAGCCAUUUCUUUAAUGUCACUGAAGGCAAGUAUGGAUUCACAUUUCUGAAAUCCUUUUGCACUUUUUUUUUGGAAAUGGUGUUGGCUGAUUUUUUUUUUUUUCAAGAGCAGUAAAAUGAUGUUCUUUCAGGGUUUAAUGUGGCCAUAGCUACAGAUUAACACACUGGGAAUAUCUUCAUUCUGUCAUCUCUCUGCUUCUCUAUGGGGAAAGCAGCUGACGUGGUUAUUAAAUCUGGCAGCUGCGUUGUGUGCAUGUGGGAAGUGAGCAGAGUACAGCAUACAGAAAACCAGUAGCUUCCUUUCACUGCUACGAGGCUUGAAAGGCAGACUAAAAAUCUUUCUCCUUUUGUAAUCACCAGUUGGUGGAACAGUGCACAAAUACUCCAAAUACAGUGGCAAAUAACUGUACUUCAGAGGAGCUAUGAUCUACAAAUUGUAUCACCUACAGUCUGUACACUGAGGAAUAAGAUUUUUAUCUCCAAACUCUCUUGUCAUACUUCCAGCUGUGGCUAUAAUAUUAGUGUUAUUGCCUCAGCUUAGCGCACACUGUGCAGUGUUGACUGGAGACAGAUUCAAGUGCUGAUGCACAGUGAAGUCAAUUUUAAUUAAGCAUUGCAGUGAUGAUUCCUCUCUACACGGAAUAUGUUUGAACUUGCAGUUGUGGGUGUCUUUUCUCCUCUGUGGAAUACUCGAAAUACUGAAAUCAUUUACUAGAAGUAUGUGUUAAUAUGUAAGAGUACAAGAUUGUCUGUAUGAAGUUCCAAAGUUCAGCUAGCCCAGUAUCCUAUGUCUAGCAGCAGCCAACAGCAAAUGUUUAGGAAACAUCAA
rnacentral:lncRNA from 1 species